AUUGAACGCUGGCGGCAUGCCUUACACAUGCAAGUCGAACGGUAACAGGUCUUCGGAUGCUGACGAGUGGCGAACGGGUGAGUAAUACAUCGGAACGUGCCUAGUAGUGGGGGAUAACUACUCGAAAGAGUGGCUAAUACCGCAUGAGAUCUUAGGAUGAAAGCAGGGGAUCGCAAGACCUUGUGCUACUAGCGCGGCCGAUGGCAGAUUAGGUAGUUGGUGGGAUAAAAGCUUACCAAGCCGACGAUCGGUAGCUGGUCUGAGAGGACGAUCAGCCACACUGGGACUGAGACACGGCCCAGGCUCCUACGGGAGGCAGCAGUGGGGAAUUUUGGACAAUGGGCGCAAGCCUGAUCCAGCAAUGCCGCGUGCAGGAUGAAGGCCUUCGGGUUGUAAACUGCUUUUGUACGGAACGAAAAGCCCUGGGUUAAUACCCUGGGGUCAUGACGGUACCGUAAGAAUAAGCACCGGCUAACUACGUGCCAGCAGCCGCCGUAAAAC
rnacentral:rRNA from 1 species